rnacentral:tRNA from 1 species
GCCGGAGUGGCGGAACUGGUAGACGCGCUACGUUCAGGACGUAGUGAGCAUUUGCUUGUGGAGGUUCGAGUCCUCUCUUCGGCACCA